rnacentral:rRNA from 1 species
CGGGUGCAGCAGGCGCGAAAACUUUACAAUGCGGGAAACCGUGAUAAGGGGACACCGAGUGCCAGCAUCAUAUGCUGGCUGUCCAGGUGUGUAAACUACACCUGUUAGCAAGGGCCGGGCAAGACCGGUGCCAGCCGCCGCGGUAACACCGGCGGCCCGAGUGGUGAUCGUGAUUAUUGGGUCUAAAGGGUCCGUAGCCGGUUUGGUCAGUCCUCCGGGAAAUCUGACGGCUCAACCGUUAGGCUUUCGGGGGAUACUGCCAGGCUUGGAACCGGGAGAGGUAAGAGGUACUACAGGGGUAGGAGUGAAAUCUUGUAAUCCCUGUGGGACCACCUGUGGCGAAGGCGUCUUACCAGAACGGGUUCGACGGUGAGGGACGAAAGCUGGGGGCACGAACCGGAUUAGAUACCCGGGUAGUCCCAGCCGUAAACGAUGCUCGCUAGGUGUCAGGCAUGGCGCGACCGUGUCUGGUGCCGCAGGGAAGCCGUGAAGCGAGCCACCUGGGAAGUACGGCCGCAAGGCUGAAACUUAAAGGAAUUGGCGGGGGAGCACAAGGGCGAUUGCGG